UACGUAGGUGACCAGCGUUGUCCGGAUUUACUGGGCGUAAAGAGCGCGCAGGCGGUCGUUCAAGUCGGGUGUGAAAGCCCCCGGCUCAACUGGGGAGGGUCAUUCGAUACUGAUCGACUCGAAGGCAGGAGAGGGAAGUGGAAUUCCCGGUGUAGUGGUGAAAUGCGCAGAUAUCAGGAGGAACACCGGUGGCGAAGGCGGAUCUCUGGGCCUUACCUGACGCUCAGGCGCGAAAGCUAGGGGAGCGAACAGG
rnacentral:rRNA from 1 species